rnacentral:rRNA from 1 species
CCCUUAGAUGUUCUGGGCCGCACACGCGCUACACUGAAGGAGGCAGCGUGUACUCCUGGAUCGAAAGAUUUGGGUAACCCGCGAAUCUCCUUCGUGCUAGGGAUUGAGGUUUGCAAUUAUCCUUCAUGAACGAGGAAUUCCCAGUAAGUGCAAGUCAUAAGCUUGCGCUGACUACGUCCCUGCCCUUUGUACACACCGCCCGUCGCUACUACCGAUUGAAUGAUUUUGUGAGGACUUCGGACUGGGACCGAUGCGGCUUUCGGGCUGCGUCGGUAUUCUGGAAAGAUGUCCAAACUGUAUCAUUUAGAGGAAGUAAAAGUCGUAACA